GUUUAGUGUAAUUUUAUUAAUUUUAAUGAUAAAAAUUCGUAUGAUAAACUCGAUGUAAUUUUGAAUUAAAUAUGUACUUAUUUACAUCACUCAAUUGAGUUUUCUAACUUCUUUUUCGUCUGGCAAAAUAAGAGAAUAGGAUCUACACAUGGAAUAGAAUCUGUAACGCUGAAGCCGCCUGGGCUUCUUAAACGCGCACAGACAGAUUGGGGUUUGGCUAUUGAAUGGCUAUGUAUUACUACGCCAGUAAAUUAAAUGAAGCCUCAUGCAGUGGAUGCAAUGUAAAGUUGCCGCCGCCACCAGCUGAACCCGCACCGCCGCCGCCGGAUCACUCGUCGCUCCCCACUGAUCCUGCACUUCUUCACGGGACUGGUCUUUCAUAUUAUGAUAACGAUUCCUACUAUUCAUUGGUGAGAGGAAAUAAUUUCAAGUCUGAGAAUAGCUGCAAACACAUGGUAAUGAAUGGUGGCAUAAAUUUUGUCACUUCCCAAACAGUAGACCCUCCCCAGGUAACAGCAGUGUUGGCCCCCAAUGUCAAGACAAAACCGGACCUUGAGUACAAAGACGGGCACAUCGUCACCGCCACGUUCGACGCGUUGGUGGAAGUGCUGCGUCCGGGCGCCAGCAAGCCCUAUGUGUUCACGUUCCUAUUAUGUUCACGUCUCUUCGUCAAACCGCACGAGCUGCUGGCCAAGCUCUGCAAGCGGUACUUCAAGAACUAUGAGAAAGUGGGCAAGACGGAAAUGAAGGAGUUAAUGGAUAGAGAGCUCACCGACAUGAUUUCUCUUGUCCGGGUGUUGAGCCAGUGGACGUCGAUGUUCCCAUAUGACUUCCGCGAUGAAAGGGUCAUGGCACUUGUCAGGAGUAUCACUCAGAGGUGUGCAGCGGAACACAUGUCGCCGAUCAGAACUGAAGUGUCGAGCAUGUUGGAAAAGUUGCUCGAUAAGUUGACGGCUCUCGAGCAGUACGAGGAAACGUUGGUGGAUGUACCUCAAGUCAGUCACGUUGAUCAGCUCCCAUUGGGAGACAUCAUCACCCUGGGUCUAACUCCUGUGGAACUCGCAAACCAGCUCACGAACGUAGAACUGCACAGGCUCUCGUUCGUCGGCCCGGAGGAGUUCGUCCAGACAUUUGCACCCUCACAACCUGCCCAGUCCACUUCCACGAAAAACAUCAACAUACAUCAUGUAGAAACUAAGAGCACGAAGAAUUUAGAGGCCUAUGCCGACUGGUUCAACCGGCUGAGCUAUCUGGUUGCAACGGACAUCUUGAAGGCAGUAAAAAGCAAGUAUCGUGCGCGUGUGAUGGAGCAGUGGGUGAUGACGGCUCGCGAGUGCUUCAACUUGGGCAACUUCAACUCUCUCAUGGCCAUCGUAGGCGCGCUCAAUAUGGCGCCCAUCGCACGUCUUAAGAAAACGUGGAGUCGGACUAACGCUGUGUGCGGCCAGCAGUUGAGGCAGCUGGAACUUUGCGUGGAGCCCAGUUCUAAUCACGCUAGGUACCGAGCGGCGUUAGCGGCGGCGCCUACGGAGACUGCCGUACCGCUCCUGUCUGUCACAUGCAGGGACCUGCAUUUCGUCAACCAGUCCUCUCCUACCAAGCUGCCGGGCAACCGCGUCAACUUCGAGAAGUGUACGAUGCUGGCGCGCAACGUGAGCGCGCAACUAGCGUCGCGGCGACUGAUGGGCGACGGACCGGCCGUGUCACCGCCCGCGCCGCAUCUGCACCUGCCCGCCUGGCGCUUCCUUAGCAGCCGGCCCGCGCUCUCCGAGCAAGGUACCUGCUCUAUGUAAACUGUACCCUCACCAUCAGCACUGUAGCGCACAAAUCACGUUGACUGAUGGGCGACGGACCGGCCGUGUCACCGCCCGCGCCGCAUCUGCACCUGCCCGCCUGGCGCUUCCUUAGCAGCCGGCCCGCGCUCUCCGAGCAAGGUACCUGCUCUAUGUAAACUGUACCCUCACCAUCAGCACUGUAGCGCACAAAUCACGUUGACUGAUGGGCGACGGACCGGCCGUGUCACCGCCCGCGCCGCAUCUGCACCUGCCCGCCUGGCGCUUCCUUAGCAGCCGGCCCGCGCUCUCCGAGCAAGGUACCUGCUCUAUGUAAACUGUACCCUCACCAUCAGCACUGUAGCGCACAAAUCACGUUGACUGAUGGGCGACGGACCGGCCGUGUCACCGCCCGCGCCGCAUCUGCACCUGCCCGCCUGGCGCUUCCUUAGCAGCCGGCCCGCGCUCUCCGAGCAAGCAAUGGAACUAACGUCGUUCGAGCGUGAGCCGCCCGUAGACCACCACGAGAAAGAACGACUGAAGCGCCUGCGAGGAGGCACAUAAGGGACCUAAACUACCCUCUAAGUUUAAAGUAGCCAUUAGUUAUAUUCGGUCAGAAUCUCAUUCAUGUCAUUACAGUGGUAGAACCAUCUUAAAUUAAGGGUUAUUGACAAUUGCAGAUCACUAAAACAAGAAAAAAUUUAAUAUCCAAAGAAUAACGAAAAAGUUAUUUGAUAUUCAAUACUUAUAUAAAAUAUUAAAAGUGGUCUAUCAAAAUGGUUCUACUGCAUUACGAAGGAUUAUAGGACAAACUUGGCUGAAAUUAUGAAACAUAUAUUUGUGGCGACUGAAUCGUCAAUUGGUAAAGAGUCCAGUACACAUUCGCCAGUAUAUUUGCCUGCUUUUGAUUUUCAUAUUGAGAUCAAAGAAUCUUAAAUGCGCCAUGUUUUCUUGUACGUUGACUGGCGCCUGGCACUCUUCUAAUACAGGGUCAAUGUGUACUGGAUUAAAAGGAUAACCAGUGAGCAUGCGAGUUUGACUCGCCAGUUGAGAAAUUCCUUUGAAAAAUAAUGAUAUUAUUCUAUUUACUUUAAGGAUAUUAAGCGUUAUUGAAGGGUUGCCGAAACGGAGGCAGGCACUAUCCUAAAGCCUUCUACGAAUAGAACAUGUACAUAGCGCGUGUCAAGAUUAAUAGCUUCGCUUCGCUUCCUAGCGCGGCGCCAUAGCGUUGCUUUGUCUUAGUUUGACCCUGUGAAAUAUAGCGCGCUAUGAGUUACGCUUUAGAUAAACUCGAUUUUUUAGUUAAACAAUUUGACAUUAGCUAAUGGGAAAUUGUAAACCAGUUCCUACUUCUCUAUACGUAGGUACAUACAAAUACAAAAAUAUAUAGAAAAGAAACACCCAGAAUAAACAUGUUCAUCAUUACUCUAAGAGUCUUAGAGUACUAUGGAGAACAUAGCCUAUGUUUGUGAUCGGUUGAUCACUCAACAUGGUUAACACCCACUGAUAUUUUUGCCUUUGUCGUUGGUAUUGAAUUACGCAACAGAGAGAGCCCUAUAUUGACUUCUCUCCGUGGAGAGAGUAUAGAAAGUGACGCCAUUACAUCUUGACAUGGGCUAAGUACGCGUUAUGUUUGUAGAAGGAUUAAAUUUUAUAAGUAUUAAAUUGAAUCUCAGUUCUAUUAAAUUAUAAACUAUAAUUAUACUAUAUACAAGAUAACUUUAAGUAUGUAUAGGUAUGCCGUGAUUUUUGCGUUUUUAUUAUCAUGUGGACGUAAGUUUUAAACAGUGCAGUAAUUAUAUUGCAGUGCAAUCCAUUACAUGGUGUUAUUUCAUUUUACAUUAAAAAGUUUACGUCUUUUUAAAUUUCUAUAUAGUUUUUUAAAUCGCUCAAGAUGGCUAAAAAAGUUUUCACUUAAAAAAUACGCUGCUAAGGUUGUAGUUUAAUAAGAAUUUGGUUAGACACUUAACAUAAUUUUAUUUGAAAAAUAGUAUUCUGCUAGUGGGAGAUCCAUCAUUUCAAUUUAUUGGCCUCAUUUUGACGGUAGGCUACAUAAAAUCGCAUUUU